UACGUAGGUGGCAAGCGUUACUCGGAAUUACUAGGCGUAAAGCGCAGGUAGGUGGUUUGGUAAGUCUGCAAUGAAAUCUCCCGGCUUAACUGGGAGCGGUUUGUAGAUACUGCCAGGCUCGAGUGUGGGAGAGGUCACUGGAAUUCCUGGUGUAGCGGUGAAAUGCGUAGAUAUCAGGAGGAACACCAAUGGCGAAAGCAGGUGACUAGCCCAAUACUGACACUGAGCUGCGAAAGCUAGGGGAGCAAACAGG
rnacentral:rRNA from 1 species